GACAGCACCCAGGCCCUGUGUUUAAGCCCCAAGGCAGGCACAUUAAAAAAAAUAUAAUAAUGGAAGAAAGGAGGCAAUAUAGUAUGAAAGCCAUCUGGAGUCAACAGCAAUGACAUUUUCUAGCCAUGUACCUAGUUCUGUGCAGAGGGGGGAAUAAUAACACAUGGGUCAUUGAGGACUUGAGUGAGAUAGCUGGGAAGCUUUUAGGUCUAUGUCUGCUGGAUGUCAGACCUCAAAAAAUGUGAGUAAGUGUGAAUAAACCCCAUGUGAUAAAUAUUCAGUAUUGUUGGAGA